rnacentral:rRNA from 1 species
CAGGGAUUGCUCUAGUAACGGCGAGUGAAGCAGCAAUAGCUCAAAUUUGAAAUCUGGCGUCUUCGACGUCCGAGUUGUAAUUUGUAGAGGAUGCUUCUGAGUAACCACCGACCUAAGUUCCUUGGAACAGGACGUCAUAGAGGGUGAGAAUCCCGUAUGCGGUCGGAAAGGUGCUCUAUACGUAGCUCCUUCGACGAGUCGAGUUGUUUGGGAAUGCAGCUCUAAAUGGGAGGUAAAUUUCUUCUAAAGCUAAAUAUUGGCCAGAGACCGAUAGCGCACAAGUAGAGUGAUCGAAAGAUGAAAAGCACUUUGGAAAGAGAGUUAAAAAGCACGUGAAAUUGUUAAAAGGGAAGGGAUUGCAACCAGACUUGCUCGCGGUGUUCCGCCGGUCUUCUGACCGGUCUACUCGCCGCGUUGCAGGCCAGCAUCGUCUGGUGCCGCUGGAUAAGACUUGAGGAAUGUAGCUCCCUCGGGAGUGUUAUAGCCUCUUGUGAUGCAGCGAGCGCCGGGCGAGGUCCGCGCUUCGGCUAGGAUGCUGGCGUAAUGGUCGUAAUCCGCCCGUCUUGAAACACGGACCAAGGAGUCUAACAUCUAUGCGAGUGUUCGGGUGUCAAACCCCUACGCGUAAUGAAAGUGAACGGAGGUGAGAACCGCAAGGUGCAUCAUCGACCGAUCCUGAUGUCUUCGGAUGGAUUUGAGUAAGAGCAUAGCUGUUGGGACCCGAAAGAUGGUGAACUAUGCCUGAAUAGGGUGAAGCCAGAGGAAACUCUGGUGGAGGCUCGCAGCGGUUCUGACGUGCAAAUCGAUCGUCAAAUUUGGGUAUAGGGGCGAAAGACUAAU